AACACUAUCGAGGGGAGAGCUUGCAGAUACAACUGACUGGUGCACAGGUCUGCUGGGCAGCUGCAUAUUGAAGAAGACAAAGAGAAUGUAGUUAGCAGGAAAAACCAAAAGCUGGAUGGCAAAGGAAGAAGGAGAAACCCCUCUGGGAUCUUAGAAUCAAUCCAUAAUUCUUGGAGUCAAUGCGUGUGUCUGCUAUCAUCAAAUAGCUUUGAGAUAAUUGAAAAGAGAAACUGCUGGGAUCAGUCUUCUGGGACGAUGAACUGCUAUUGACUGUAAGAGUUCACUGCUCUGUCUGGAAGAAUUCAGGGUCACAAACCUGGAAAAUCAGCUAGGAACACCACAGAAUGUGCCAAAGGCAAGCAAGAACCUCACUUGAUGUGGAAUUUUUUCAUCAUGGUUCCUGGGAAGUUUGCUGCCUUCUGUUUGCCAGGCCCAGCACAGGAUGAGUAACUGGUCUGUAACAGUGGCUGCUGCUGAGGGAGACCCUGCAGCUGCUCUCAUGGCUCCUUUCACAGGAAAAAGGGUUUUCCCCCCACAGCCAGCUUCUCUAACAGGCAAAGAGCAAGGAGGCACAUCCAGUCUUGCCUAGAUCCAAGAGACCUGUCCAGCCAGAACCUGGAUUGCCAGACAAUGGAAGACAAAUCUGUUCAGUCUUCUCAAGAUCUGAGUCAAUGUCACCUGGACAGAGGUGAAGGAGGAGCUGGGAGUUCAGUGCUGGCUGAACUUCACAAAUACAGUGUAACAGCAAAAGUACCUUCCCCCUUCUAUCAGGUCACAGGCAAAUGCUGUCCUGAUUAAAAGUAUAUCACCUACUGGUAUGGGAAGGGAUGAGGAGUAACAUUUGGUUGGAUUUUUUAAAAGUUUAAAUCACGGAAAAUCAUGUGAUGUGGCUAGAUCUCAGACAAACUAAUUAAUCAAUGCAAAAUUAUGACCUUCCCCCAUAUUUUUAGCAAAAGGUUUGCAAUAGUAACAUGCAAACAAAACAGGCAGAACAUCCAGGGAUGAGGGAUUUAAUCUGGUACCGAAUAUCUUUAUAUGCCUCAAAGUUCUUGGCAUUAUACACUGCUUAUUUCCUCAACAAGUUUUAAUGGAGAAUUCUUAUAAAUAUAAAGUUUAUUAUGCAGAGGAAGUCUGUAAGUGUAAAAGGCUGCAUUAUAUACAGAGAAGAAACCAUUAUACAUGGCAAGGCAUUAUGUAAUACUUGUGCUGUUAGCCUCCAACAUGUUACAGACUCACCUCAGCACAUACAGGGGUACACACUGACAUCUUCCAGUUGUAAAAGAGAGACAACUUCUACCAGAUAGCCUAGGAAUGGGUCUAAAGGUAAGGACUAAAACUCCAAAAUUUGCUACGUUCUACUCAUACAACUAAUUUGAAUCUGAAAUCAGGCUUAAAAUACAAUUUGAAUAACAAGAUGGCAAAUUUUCUACUAUACUGCUUUUUGAAGAGAAGUCAGAAUUGAAGUUUUCAUGCUCUUGAUUUAGCAUAACCCCUGUAAGGAUAUUGAAACUCUGUCCUGCCUUCCCUUGCACUUGCACUUCUCAGAAGCAGGCAGUGGGAUUCAGGUCACUGGAUAAAGCACGUGACUAGCUGUCUCCCCACGUCAGGCCAGUGUCUCAGUUCCCAUUACAAAUAAUGGAGAUUUAGUCAAUAUUCACAACUCUUCAGCUAAACCCAACCUGACAUUUGAUCCGCUAAAUGGCUCCUGAGGCUCUACUGCCUCUAAUUACAAUACAGGCACCUGAUGGAUCUGCAAAUUCCUUCCCUGCUCUCUUCUGGUAAAGCCCUGCCUGUUCCAGCCCCAUCCCAGCCACCCUGCCUUGGGCCUGGCUUGGCAGGGUCUCCUGCAGACAGCUCUGCAUUAAAAUAAAUAUCCACUAACCCAACACAAUGCUCCCCUCGCUCAGGGCCCCUCACAGCUGGCAGAGGGUAUACAUUUUCAGACAUUAGAAACAUUUCAGUUUUUUAAUUGGCCACUAAAACAUGGGAUUCCAAACUUGCUGUCUUAGACAAAUAGUAUGAUUUUAAAUGCUCUUUUCUUAUUGCACUGCAGAGAAUACACUGGUUUAAGCAUGCAGAGUUAGGGAAAACACAUUUGCCACAUGCCCCUACAACUGAAAACUCCAUACACACUUAAACCAAAAUUAAAAUUAACAAACAGUAACUACAAACAAGACUCAGUGAAAUAUUGAGCAAAAUAAAGAUGGAAGUACUUUUAAAAAGUACCUUCAACUGAGAAUAAAGAGCUAUGUUCUUGCAAUAAUAUUCACUUUCAACUAGACUGGCUAUUUAGAGGACAACAGUUCAGUCCAGUGUCGCAUAAAGAUGAAACUAUUACACAGAAUAGUUCCAUGUUCAAUUAACCUUCUUAUUCCUUUUGCUCCAGGGCUCAGUGUUUCAAUAGUCACUGAAAUUACCUCCACAGUAGGUUUAAAACCUAAGUCACUAUAAGAAACAGAAUUAAAGCUCAUGCCCACGCUGUCCAAGAGCCGAUUGUGACCAUUGCAGCCCCACUGCUGUCCCAGCGCUGUUUCUCCGGAGCAUGGGGCCGGCUCCAGUCCGGGCAGCUGCCAGAGGGCACUGCCAGCCCCGUCCCUCCAUCCCUGGGCCAACCCCAGCCCUGUCCCU